rnacentral:lncRNA from 1 species
UAUAUUGGAGUAAAUGUAACAAAAUCAUGAUCAACUUUUUUAUUAAUCUAAUUUAUCAAAAAGUUUUCAAGACGUCCCUGAACAAUCAUAUAGAUAUUCAAAAAAUGGUUGCUAUUACAAAGACUACUAAGGUUAUAAAAAAGAGGAAUAUAUAGCUUAUAUCCAAACAGACUCAAACACGGAUGGAAUCCUAUGCUGAAGAAAAUGGCAUGUUGUAGUCGUCAUAAAACAAACCAUUAACCGCCAUCUUAUAUUUUUCCUCCUUUUGUAAUGUCUGACAUUGAGUAACAAACAAUUUACUUGAAUAAUUAUUAUUGUUUUUAUUAUGGUUGUUUUGUUGCAGCUAUAUUUUUGCCCUUUUUUCUUCAAUGUAAUAGUGGAUGACGACGACGUUUGAUGUGGUUUUAGGAAUAAAGAAAUAUACUAAGAGAUGGGUUAAAAAACAUAAUUGAUUUUUCACUGCGGGGUCCUUUCAUGAAGGAUAUUGAUAUUUAAAUCAAUGAAACUCAUUCCAGAAUUAUCAGAAACUUUUUUAUAUAUUAUGUUAAGUCAUGGAACUCAACGUGAGCGGAUUUUUGGCCAAUAAAAAAUGUUCCUUAGGACAAUUUGCCGAAGAAAAUCUCGACAAAGGACAAUUUGCCGAAAAAAUUUCGACAAAGGACAAUUUGCCGAAGAAAAUUUCGACAAAGGACAAUUUUCCGAACAAAAACUUCUCUGAAGGACAAUUUGCCGAAUGUACAAUUUGCCAAAUGACAAUUUGGGACAUUUGGCCGAAAAAUGACACUUAAUUAUGGAAUUACCGAUACCAAAUUUUCUGCCAAUUCCGAUACAAUCUUGAUGAACAAUUCCAAUACCGAUUUCAUAUUGUGUAUAAAUAAAUUUAAUAAACAAAUAACAAAAUUGUUUA